CGGCCGGCCGGCGGGCAAGGCGCCGCGCCGUGUCCGGGGCGGCGGGCGGGCCGGGCGCCGGGAGCCCGAGGGUUCGGCCCGCCCUGGCCGCCC
rnacentral:tRNA from 1 species